GGAACUGCAUCCAAAACUAACUCACUAGAGUACGAUAGAGGGAGGUAGAAUUCAUAGUGUAGCGGUGGAAUGCGUAGAUAUUAUGAAGAAUACCAGUGGCGAAGGCGGCCUCCUGGAUCUGUACUGACACUAAGGUGCGAAAGCGUGGGUAGCGAACAGGAUUAGAUACCCUGGUAGUCCACGCCGUAAACGAUGACAACUAGCUGUUGGGAGACAAUGUCUUUCAGUGGCGCAGCUAACGUUUUAAGUUGUCCGCCUGGGGAGUACGGCCGCAAGGCUAAAACUCAAAUGAAUUGACGGGGACCCGCACAAGCGGUGGAGCAUGUGGUUUAAUUCGAUGCAACGCGAAAAACCUUACCUACUCUUGACAUACUUGGAAGCUCUUGUAAUGAGAGUGUGCCUUUUGGAGCCAAGAUACAGGUGCUGCAUGGCUGUCGUCAGCUCGUGUCGUGAGAUGUUCCGUUAAGUCGGAUAACGAGCGCAACCCUUACCCUUAUUUGCCAGCGAUUCGGUCGGGAACUAUAAGGGGACUGCCGGUGAUAAACCGGAGGAAGGUGAGGACGACGUCAAGUCAUCAUGGCCCUUACGAGUAGGGCUACACACGUGCUACAAUGGGGAAUACAGACGGACGCUAAGCCGCGAGGUGGUGCUAAUCCUAUAAAGUUCUUCGUAGUCCGGAUUGGAGUCUGCAACUCGACUCCAUGAAGUCGGAAUCGCUAGUAAUCGCGAAUCAGCAUGUCGCGGUGAAUACGUUCUCGGGUCUUGUACACACCGCCCGUCACACCAUGGAAGUGGAUUGCACCAGAAGUAGAUAGUCUAACCUUCGGGAGGGCGUUUACCACGGUGUGCUCCAUGACUGGGGUGAAGUCGUAACAAGGUAGCCG
rnacentral:rRNA from 1 species